CACAAAGACUUGAAAGAAUCGAGAACGACAUGCAUGUUCAGGUAGUCCCCAGGUAGCACAUAAGAUUUGCUGGAUCCUACAUGCCACGGCGACAUUUGUUUUUGCGUCUUUCUGUGGGAAUGAAAGCAAAGGCACGGCACUGAAUGUGUCACACGGGUGCACAGCACAGACGGCUGCUAUAAAAGGGACGAUGGAGCAGGAAGAAAUGCAUCCGAACCACACAACUCCCCAUAUUUCACCAGCACCUAGCAAACCUGUAUUUCCUGGUUACUACUCACUCAUCCCUUUGGUUGUGCUCAUACUGAUUGGAUGUAUAGUGGCAGUGGUUGUUUAUAUCAGAAGAAAAAUGAGAUUGGAUGAUUUGCGGCAUAGGUUGAUUCCUCUGUACACCUACGACCCUGCAGAGGAACAGGAAGACUGGGGUGAUGCUGGCAGGGAGGACGAGGAUGCAGAGCUCAAUGAACCUUUGUACAAGGAGGCACAGCUCACCAUUUCCUCUGGCUACGGAACAUGAUCACAAAUUUCAGAAGAAACUCAUUUAAGCAAAUAAAUCUUCAUUUGCUGUACAUGCUGCACAGCAGCAGCUUGCUGCCUGGAUUCAAAGUGUAUAUAGAGGUUGUGGUUGAAACGUGACUUAAAGCAAACACCAGAUGGCAAUGUAACAUUGCCUUUUUACCUCAGCUGAAAUUAUUUUUUUUUAAUAGGCUGCACAGAGUUUUAUUUUAAAGGACAAAGCAAAUGUUAUUCCUG
rnacentral:lncRNA from 1 species